CAAGACCUUGCGCUUUAGGAGUGGCCGAUAUCGGAUUAGCUAGUUGGUGAGGUAAAGGCUCACCAAGGCGACGAUCCGUAGCGGGUCUGAGAGGAUGAUCCGCCACACUGGGACUGAGACACGGCCCAGACUCCUACGGGAGGCAGCAGUGGGGAAUUUUGGACAAUGGGCGCAAGCCUGAUCCAGCCAUGCCGCGUGAGUGAAGAAGGCCUUCGGGUUGUAAAGCUCUUUCGGUGGGGAAGAAAUUGCUUAGGCUAAUACCUUAAGUAGAUGACGGUACCCGCAUAAGAAGCACCGGCUAACUACGUGCCAGCAGCCGCGGUAAUACGUAGGGUGCGAGCGUUAAUCGGAAUUACUGGGCGUAAAGCGUGCGCAGGCGGUUUUGUAAGACAGACGUGAAAUCCCCGGGCUUAACCUGGGAACU
rnacentral:rRNA from 1 species